ensembl:lncRNA
AUGAAUUGGCAUCCAUAUGGGAUGCCAGCACUGCAGGCUACGGCUCUAUCUGCUAGGCCACAACACCAGGCCCAGAGUCUAGCCUUAAUUCCAGUCCCAGUUCUGCCUCUAAUUUACCGAGUAACUAUGUGUAGGUUACUGUUCCUUGGCUUCUUACUACUUAUUUAUAUUUAUUAUAGCUUCUUACUAUUCAAUUCUUUUUAUCAACCAAACCUCAUUUUUUUAAAAAAAGAUUUAUUUAUUUAUCUGAGAGAGAGGGAAAGGGAGGGAGAGAGAGGCUUUUUCUAGUUGGCAUUCAAGUGGUUGAGCAAUGAUUUUUGAAGAAGCUCUCCUGAAAACCCUGGUAAAAAGCCAUAUUUUCUGAUGAGCGUUUGGUCAUUCUGGUAUUAAGGACUGAGGAGGUUGCACCUGUGUCUACUAAAAACCCUGUGAAUAGAUUUCCCACUGUGUGGUUACUUGGGGCUAUGCAUUGAAAAUCUCAAUGGAGCUGGAAGAACUGGUGGGAGAUUCUCGUUCCCCUCAUUCCUGGUCACUUUCAGUUAGCUGCAGCAGUUGAAAAGCUCAUGAACUUUCUCCGCUAGCUUUCUUCCCUGGGAUGGGCGUUCCUUCUUCCAAUGCUCUUCCUGCCUGCGGUCGGUGCACUGGAGCAGUCUUGGAUUCAAGCGACCUGGGGAAGUUACCUUGGGUUGGGCUCCACCUUGUGGCAGUCCUUGACGAAGUUCAGACCUUCCGGAUUUAGUGCCAAGGCCAGCAAGAUGGCCGGUUGUUUCCUCUUGUUAUUCCCCACCCCCGGGUCUGGUCUUCUUUGUUAAAUAUCUUGAAAGCAAUCUCCACCAACUAGACAUCCCAAGAGCCCUUUCUACUUUCUCUGUAUGUUGGGGCCUGCUUGCCUUAUAAAAGUCAUGCUUGUCAUCUUGAUUCUCUGAGGCCUCAGAAUUUAUGUCCGUGUAUCUGUAAUAUACCUCAAAAAUCCUCUACAAGUACUCCAAGCAUUUCUUGUUUUGUUUUUUUUUUUUUCCCUCACUUAUUGAACUUGAUGUAAGUUCCUCUGCUUUGGCAUCCCUCUUCUUUUUAUUAUUUUGAAUUUUAUUCAUUUGAAGGGCAGAAAGAUAAAAAGAAAAACAGACUGGCAGAGCCCAGUUGAAGAGGUCUCUGUCUCCUUGAGACAUCACCCUCUGCUUCCCAGGGUGUGCAUUAACAAGAAGAUGGAUUGGAAGCAGAACAGCUACAUCAUAUUUAAGCACAGUGUUUUCUGUUUGUUUUUGCUUUAAGGCAGAGUUACAGAGAGAGGAGAGAGAGAGAGAAUCUUCCAUCCCCUGAUUCACUCCCCAAAUAGCCACAAUGACUGGGGCUGGACCAGGCUGAAGCCAGAAGCCAGGAGCUUCUUUCAAGUCUUCCAUGUGGAUGCAUGGCCCAAGGACUUGGACCAUUUUCCGCUGCUUUCUCAGGCAGAUGCUGUCUUCAGGGAGCUGGAUCAGAAGUGGAGCAGCCAGAGAUUCAAACCAGCAUCCAUAUGGGAUGCAAGUGCCACAGGCUGUGGCUUAACUUGUUGUGUCACAGCGCUGGCCCAAGCACAGCUUUUAAGUUGCUACUUGGAAUGGUUGCACUCCAUAUCAGAGUGCAUGGUUUGAGUCCUGGCUCUUCUGCUUCCAAUCCAGCUUCCUGUUAAUGUGCACUCUGGGAGGCAGCAGCUCAUGGUUCAAGUAAGGAGUUGAGUUCCAGCCGCCCUGGAAACCUAGAUUGAGUUCUGGGCCACUGGCUUCAGCCUGGCCCAGCCCUAGCUGUUGUAGGCAUUUGGGGUGUAAACUGGCAGAUUGGAGAUCUCUGUUUUUCUGCCUUUCAAAUAAAGUUUAAAAAGCAAAAAACUUAUUCUCUGAU